GGGGCUUCAGGCCUGUUCCAACGAGCUCUCACAGGAAGGAAAGAAAUGAGAGAGUGAUCAGAACAUGGCGAACUAAACGAUGGGAGCUCAUGGAGAAAUUUGAACAUUAUGGGCCAAGUUGUGUUUGGGCUCAGCUGACGCCUUCUAGUUCUAUUUGUUCGAAAUAAAAAAUCCCCAGAAACAUACUGACCUUGUUCAGGAUUUCUGUGACUGCAGAGCUUCCAGUAGUGCAGACCUCAACACUCCUCAACGAUGGUCACCAUCAAAUCCUCCACAGCCCACCCUCUCUGACUCCCAUUUAAAGCUUCCAUUCAUGUUUACAGGACAGGACAGAAGAGAACUACCCCCUAAUGCAGUGUCACAUCAACAGGAAAGUCAGAUUCCAAUGAAAUAUUUAAUCUGAUCAAAGAUCAUCAUCAUUGUAUGGAGUCCUGCAUUCAGUAAUAUGGAUGACUGAAAAACAUGUAAAGAAACGUCUGGUGUGACUGUGCACCGGGCCUCGUCAAAUCUGUGAUGCCCAAUGAACCAUCUGCAAAGACCACUUGGCUUCAGAAAUGAUGAUGAAAUUUAAUUCAUUAAUAAUCCUACAAAAAGUGGGGCUAACUUCUACUAUCAUCCCUUUCAAAUGCUGGUACAGAAAACUUUGAGUUACAUUUGGUGAGAGGGCAGGAGGGGAGCAGGAAGGCAGCAGAAGAGUGAUUUCUUACAAAAUUAUACAGGAUCAUAUCAAACAUUCAGUCCAGCUGCACACAUGCCUUGGUAACUAGUCCAUUCAGGGCUCAGUGCCAGAUUUUUAUUCAGGAGUAAUGCUGCAACACAUCUGCUGCCAAUCAAAAUUAGCUGAUGUUAAUUGUUUUCUCAGGAGACACCUGGCUUAUAGCAAUAUUUGGACCUUAUUUCUAAUGUUAAGAAAAUAAAGUGAAGCAUUUGGCAGCUCUAAGGCCAGACAUUUCUCUCAGGAUGACCAAACCAAAAGCCUUUUCCACAGUGGGAGCUACAAUAUGCCUGAAUAGAACCAUGGUAGGUUUUCAUUUGAUCUAGAAAAGCUUGAAAAUUCAAGUUUCCAAACGCCUCAUGAAGGCCCAUUCUUAAGUAAAGGUGGUGAUGCA